GGUUUGGUGAGUUUGGGUUGGAUUUAGAUUUGGGUUGGAUUUUAAUUGUUGGGUUUCGUGGAUUUUAAUAUAGUCAUCAUCAGACGUCGACAUAUUCAUUCUCCAACUAUCAGUCAGCACCAAUUAAGUCCUCUUUCUAUCAAUUACUUCGACUUUGGUCCUCAAAGUAUUUGUCUGUGCAAUUGUAGUCUCCAUCUAUUAGAACCUACAAUUAAGUCCUCCAUCUACCAAUUACUUCGACUUUGGUCCUCAAACUAUUCCUUCUUCAUCGUCGCCGGCCGCCACAGCCUGUCUCCCUUCUUCUUCCUCCUCCUCCCAAAUUAGGGUUUUACGGACGCCUGAAGCAGAAGCAGGACGUAGAAAGAGACGAAGAUGACUUUGUUGCGGUAUCAUACGGUGCGAUUCAUACGGGAUUACAGGCUAAAAUCUCGAAAAGACCUCCAGACAUUUGCCAUAACUCCCCUCUUCUCCUUCCCCUCACACCUUUCCACCAUGACAGCCGCGAAGUUUUCGGCUCCGCCGUGGCCUCCGGUGGCUACAACGACACCAUCAAAGUCUAUGUCCUCUCUUCCUUCGCCGAGAUCGGUUCCCUCCAUCAGUCCUCUGCCGUCACCCAACUCUCCUUCUUCACCUCUCCCUCGUUCCCAUCCUUUCCCCGCAGUCUCCUACCCACUGAUGCCGACUGUUGUUUCUCCAUCUACGAUGCCGACCCUUUGUCCACCUCAGAAUUCUACGAAGUUCGCAAUAAAGGAGUCAAGUCACUCUUUUGUCCAUCCCUCUGGCCGAAUAGCGUUGACAGUAGGUCACGAUUGAGUGCUUGGCCAUGGUCAAUUUGGUUAGAGGAAGGCGCAGUUUGUACUGCAGGUUAAGCAAAGAGUCGUCAAUUGUACAAUUCCAUGAAACGGGGAAAAUUCUUCAUGAUAGCUGAUGAGACAAUUAGUGACCCCGAGGUUAAGGACGCAAGAUUAAUUUUUUAACUCGAAAAUGGGAAGAGAGUUCUCUGUCCUGCCACUAGCACGGAUUUUAUUUAAAGGGGUGAGGACAGAACUUGACUGCUUGGGAUACAGCUAGUGGGAAAGUGGCAAAGAGCAUUGGAGAUGCGCAUUCUACCCGUGUCAAAGGCAUUGUUGUCUUAUCAAAGAGCUGGGGUGGAGGAUCCAUACAUUGUGGCAUUGGCACUGUCUGAUGGUCUUGUACACAAUUGGGAUGUUCAGAUGGCUAAUGAGAGAAGAUGAGUCCACUAGCAGAGGCUAACUCCAGAUCACGGCUCACUUGUCUUGCAGUAUCAUCUAUCGAAUGUGACUCAGAAUUUGGUUUGAUACGAUUUUGAUCUCCUUUAAUUCUAGUCUUACUGUUAGAUUCAUUAGAUGGUUAUAUAUUCAUGCAGUUAGUGUACUGUUAGUGUAAAUAACUUUCCAGCAGAAAAAUUUCCCAAUGAGAAGUUAAAAAUUUCGAUUCAGUGGGCUUAUGAUGCACCGACAGUCAUAUUUUUGACCUUAUACCAAAAGGGUUGGCAAUGGAGACACCAAAAGAUUGUCAAAUCAUGAGGACACAAAACUGUUAUUGUAGUAUAUUAAGCUUGUUAAGAAAGAGAAGAGGCUGGACCUUUGUUAUUAGUCCAGCUAUACGCCUACCUGCUGCUAACUACCCGAAGAUGCCUCUCGUCUUUUCGGACGUGUAUGUGGAAGAGUUGUUAUGCAAUUGAAGAAAAGAAAAACUCGUAUCCCAACUCUAUAAGUUUGCAUAUCCAAUUAGUAGAUUUACAUUAUGAUCUUCCUCAUACUAAAAGAUUUCAGGGAAGAUCUGUACUGUUGUCACAGCAAGUCUUGGUCCUUGGUUGAAUUUAUUUUGACAUCCAAACUAGAUAAACAGAACCAAAAUUGAUGGACUAGUCUUAUAUCUGAAACUUCAUGAGGAUUGUCUAUAGUCCCAAAAUGUAGGACUCUAAUCAUGGAUUACAGAUGAAGACCUUUGAACUUUGGGGACAAUAUGCUUGAGUUUUUUUGUUUCAGAAGAUGAAGCUGAAACAAUGCAGAGUGAGGAUGUUGAUAAAUUCUUUGGAGACAGGAACAGAGAAUCCUUUGUGCGGGGAUCCUUUUCCUCUUCAUGAAUUGUGUCCAACAUCUUUGAUGCUCGAUGCCUCAUAAGGUUUACAAACUGUGGGGGUGCUACUUCAAUUAUAAAUCUAGAGAGGCGAGCAUUUGCCAUUUUCUUAAAAACGUUUGAGAAUCAAAAGAUGGAAGAAUGGGUAGAAGUGUGUGUGAAGAGAUUUCUGGCUAUGUGAACAAGUAGGAACUUCGACUGCUUCAAAUUUAUAGGGGGACGCUUGUGCUGAAUUCUAAUAACUGGAUGAGAAUAUAGUUUAAUUGUCAGGCUUAAAUGAACUCAGUGGUCCUAAUCUAAUUGUUAAAUGAUUUUAAGAUAGUUGUGCUUCUCUUACUUUUCGUAGUUAUAGUGACAACAAUGUUCGCUAUGAAUGUUAAUAUGAUUGCCUUAUUAGUAGGAUAGCAGUGGAGCCCAAUAUUGUCCAAAUGGUGCCAUGUGUCUAUAUGGAUAGAAUAUGCAUAUCCCUUAAGAAAUUUUCUUUUUGUUGGUAUCAGAGCUUCCAAUUUUGCACUUUUCCAGAGUUUGAUUGGAAGCUGCCUUUAAAUGCCAAAUGUCAGUUGAUAACCAUUAAACGGAUCUAUCAGCUAUGAGACAACCUCUAAUUGAGAUGCAAAUCUGGAGGCAGCGGCUAAAGAUUCAGAGUAGCUGUCUCAAGCUGGGAUAUUAAAUAUAGAUUCCUUUUUUUUCUCAUUUUUGUUUUUACUAGAGGAACAGAGUUAAUUGUGAAUAUAUUUUGGGUAGAUAUAACAUCAAUUUUGACAUUAAAAGAAGGAUCUUAGUAUAUAAAUUACAAGUUUAAUGAUGUUUUGAACAGUUGAAUGAACAAAAAUAUGAUUACCCUGUCUGUAGUAGUUCGAUAUUGUAUAUUGAUUCAGAAGACAGAUCAUGGAUAUAUGCAAAUUACAAUUCAAUAUUGAAAUUUACAAACAAGAAAUCUCCUACACAAAUAGAUCAUCCAUAUAUGUCAAAACAUUACAGAUAUGAAAGAUCAUCUCUACUAAACUCUUAGCUGAGAAAACUAUCAAAUCUCCUGGGCACAUGUUCAAACCAUCCUUUACAUCUCCUUCACCUCUCAUGAUACACAUACAUACACAUUUUUUCAGAGUUAAUCCCCAAGUUGCCAUUUUCACUUCUUGAAAUUUUAUUGCUAUAUUUCCCCUUGGGAGCAUGCACAUUCAUGGAUUGAAGGCACGUCCAUGGCUCGAUUACUGAAUCUUUCGAUGCUAGACGUGCCAAAAAGUGCUUAUUUUCUUCACAUCAUUAACAUGACGUAUCUGUUUACCAACAGGAACGACGUAAAAGAAAGCAACACGGGAAGUAGGUAAAUGACUUUCUUGUUGAAAGCAGCCAUUUUGUUGGAUCCUUCUUCGGCAAUCGUCUCAAGUUUUGGGGCGUUGGAAGCUCUGUAAGGGAAAAUUAAUGGAGAAGGGGCAACCUCUACCCAAUUGUGCAUGUAACACAUUUGCUUUCUCAUGACUGCCUAUGAAGGAGAAAGAAGGCUUGUUUGGGGGAGACGUUUCUUGAACAGAAUGAUUGAUGAUUCGACAGAAAAUUUUUUCAGAGCCAAGAGAAUUUUUGUUGGAUGAGGAAGAAUUCUUGAAAUAACAGUAUUUAAACUGGUUCUUGUGCUUAAGAAUAGGAACAAUCUAAGGAGGAAAUUGACUUGAAGAAAACCAUGGCAAAAAACAUUGACAGUUGUUUGGUGUAUUUAAGGAUCUUCAUAACCAUAAUUCAGUCAAAAUCCUUCCAUAGAUCUCUCACCAAUUCAUGGAGCAUAUUGAAUAAGAAAAAUGUUAAGCUUGAA